AUUGAACGCUGGCGGCAUGCCUUACACAUGCAAGUCGAACGGCAGCACGGGGCAACCUGGUGGCGAGUGGCGAACGGGUGAGUAAUACAUCGGAACGUGCCCAAUCGUGGGGGAUAACGCACCGAAAGGUGUGCUAAUACCGCAUACGCCCUGAGGGGGAAAGCGGGGGAUCGUAAGACCUCGCGUUAAUGGAGCGGCCGAUGCCGGAUUAGCUAGUUGGUGAGGUAAAGGCUCACCAAGGCGACGAUCCGUAGCUGGUCUGAGAGGACGACCAGCCACACUGGAACUGAGACACGGUCCAGACUCCUACGGGAGGCAGCAGUGGGGAAUUUUGGACAAUGGGCGCAAGCCUGAUCCAGCCAUUCCGCGUGAGUGAAGAAGGCC
rnacentral:rRNA from 1 species